UCCUACGGGGGGCAGCAGUGGGGGAUAUUGCACAAUGGGGGAAACCCUGAUGCAGCGACGCCGCGUGAGCGAUGAAGUAUUUCGGUAUGUAAAGCUCUAUCAGCAGGGAAGAAAAUGACGGUACCUGACUAAGAAGCCCCAGCUAACUACGUGCCAGCAGCCGCGGUAAUACGUAGGGGGCAAGCGUUAUCCGGAUUUACUGGGUGUAAAGGGUGCGCAGGCGGCUCUGCAAGUCAGGCGUGAAAGCUAGGGGCUCAACCCCUAAACUGCGCUUGAAACUGUGGAGCUUGAGUGAAGUAGAGGCA
rnacentral:rRNA from 1 species